rnacentral:rRNA from 1 species
GACGUAGGGCGCAAGCGUUGUCCGGAUUUAUUGGGCGUAAAGAGCUCGUAGGCGGCUGGUCGCGUCGACUGUGAAAACCCACGGCUCAACUGUGGGCUUGCAGUCGAUACGGGCUGGCUUGAGUGCGGUAGGGGAGACUGGAAUUCCUGGUGUAGCGGUGAAAUGCGCAGAUAUCAGGAGGAACACCGGUGGCGAAGGCGGGUCUCUGGGCCGUUACUGACGCUGAGGAGCGAAAGCGUGGGGAGCGAAC